GAGCGAAAUGGGAAAAUAAAUAUUUUAUUUAUUAUUAAAAAGUAAAUUAGAAAAGAAUUCUGAUUGAAGAAACAAGAACCUCCUUGUAAAAUAAAAUACUUUAAAGUAAUCAAUAGCGAACUAGUACCGUAAGGGAAAGGUGAAAAGACCCCCGGAAGGGAAGUGAAAAAGAACAUGAAUUUUUUAUCUUACAAUCUAUAGAAGGGUUAAAGAACCUAACUAUAUGCCUGUUGAAGAAGGAGCUGACGAGUCUUAAUUAUUUUAAGCAUUUGGUUAAAAUUUAGUUAAUUGAAGCCAGAGUUAAUGCGAGUUAUUAAUAAUAACAAUUGCUUAUAAUUAAGAACCCGAACCCGGAUGAAUUAAUCUUGCCCAGAAUGAAAUAUAGAUAAGUCUAUAUAGAGGUUCGAACUGGUUGAUAUUGCAAAAUCAUCAGAAGAGGUGAGAUUAGCGGUGAAAUGCUUAUCGAAUUCGGAGCUAGCUGGUUCUCCUCGAAAUGCGUUGAGGCGCAGCUAUUAUUAAUACAUAUUUAAGGUGGUAAAGCACUAUAUAUAAUUAUUAUAUAUUUUAAUUUAAAUAUAUUAUAUAUAAACUAAUAAUACCUAAUUAUGUUAUAAAAUAAUAAGUGAGACUAUUGGGGAAAAUCUCAAAAGUCAAAAGGGAAACAACCCACAUCAUAAGUUAAAGUUUUUAAAAAGUAUUUAAUACAAAAAGAAAUUUAAUUUCAUUUAUAUUUAGGAGGUUAGCUUAGAAGCAGUUAUCCUUUAAAGAGUGCGUAAUAGCUCGCUAAAUUAGAAAUUAUGUACUAAAAAUGAAAGAAUAAAAAUACUUUACUGAAACUAUGAGAUUUAUAUUUAAAUCGAUAGAGGAGCGUUCUAUAUUUAAAAAGCAAAAAUGUAAAUUUUUGUAUAAAAAUAGAAGUGAGAAUGUCAGCUUAAGUAGCAUAAAUAUUAGUAAAAUCUAAUACUCCGAAAGCUAAAAGGUUUCCUAUGGAAGGGUAUACCACGUAGGUAAAGUCGGGGACUAAAAUUAGAUUUAAUAUGUAAUUGAUGGUUAAAAGGUUAAAUUUCCUUUACCAUAAUAUAUAAUCUAAACAAAUAGUGACCUAUAGUUUUUUAUUAUAUUUUUAAGGUAUAGUUUCUUAAUAUAAUAAAAUAAUAUAGCUAGAAAAAUGUAUAUGUUAUAUAUAU
rnacentral:ncRNA from 1 species